rnacentral:lncRNA from 1 species
CGGAGCCAGGCCGCUCGACGGCGGAGGCCGAGCGGCCCCCAGGGCUGCAGCGGCGGCCGAGGCAGGCGGGCGCAAGGUGAGGACGGCAAAGGGCCUCGCAGAGACCGAGCCGCUGGCCGUGGUGACACAGCCAGAGCGGGCAGAGCCAGGACGCGCAGCCAGCCAGGUGUGUGGAGCCCGGGAGCCUCGUGCUAAUCCCACCUCGCAGGGUACUGCUAGUGCAGGAGGAGGCUGAAAUGAGGGCGCCCCAGGGCAGCAAAUGCCUAACCUGGAAUUACUUAAAGUACCCUCUUCUUGGGGUGACUGAGAAAACCAACAGUGGUGGCUUGGGGCUGGGGGAA